UACGUAGGGGGCAAGCGUUGUCCGGAUUUAUUGGGCGUAAAGAGCGUGUAGGCGGCUUGGUAGGUCCGUUGUGAAAACUCGAGGCUCAACCUCGAGACGUCGGUUGAAACCGUUUGGCUAGAGUCCGGAAGAGGAGAGUGGAAUUCCCGGUGUAGCGGUGAAAUGCGCAGAUAUCGGGAGGAACACCGGUGGCGAAGGCGGGUCUCUGGGCCGUUACUGACGCUGAGGAGCGAAAGCGUGGGGAGCGAACAGG
rnacentral:rRNA from 1 species